GAUGAAGAACGUAGCGAAAUGCGAUAAGUAAUGUGAAUUGCAGAAUUCAGUGAAUCAUCGAAUCUUUGAACGCACAUUGCGCCCCCUGGUAUUCCGGGGGGCAUGCCUGUUCGAGCGUCAUUUCACCACUCAAGCCUCGCUUGGUAUUGGGCAUCGCGGUCCGCCGCGCGCCUCAAAUCGACCGGCUGGGUCUUCUGUCCCCUAAGCGUUGUGGAAACUAUUCGCUAAAGGGUGUUCGGGAGGCUACGCCGUAAAACAACCCCAUUUCGAAGGUUGACCUCGGAUCAGGUAGGGAUACCCGCUGAACUUAAGCAUAUCAAUAAGCGGAGGA
rnacentral:misc_RNA from 1 species